ACUUUAUCAAAACAUAAAUGUUUAAUUAAACACGAACAACAAUAAAAGCAACAUAAUUUUACAGAAAAUCAAACAUUUGCUGGGAUAUACGGUGCAAGCCAUAAAAAUGCAGACGAUGUCAGUGGGUAACGUUAAAGCCGUUGCACAGCCUGCUGCACACCUUGGGGACAUGAAGUCAUCAACUACGACGCCGCCACUCCUCUGGCCCCUUCCCUUACUACAACACUCCAGCGUAAACCGGCUCUGCCUGCUUUCUUGUGGGUGCUGAUCAGGAAAAAAUAGCCCACUGCACCUUAAGGAUUUGCUUUUUAUGUUUAUUAUUUUCUUUGCCCUGCCUGUAUAUCUGUGUUUGUGUGCGUGUGUGGAGUUGGCCACGUGGCUGGCACCCUUCGCCAAUUCGACGCGCUAGUUUUACACCCUUGUGCCUCACCCCUUAAGAAACGCAUAAGCUAGCCGCAAACGAAACAUGUUGCGUUUUUUAUGUGGCCUACUAGAUCCCGGGGUUAGGGGUUGAGUUGGCUGCUGUCUUAGGUCAUCAAUAAUGGCGCAAACAUGCAUUAAAGACGCUUGCUUUACAUUAAGACGAACCGGCUUAUUGAAAUUGGUACACAACCUGAGCCCUUUUUCGCCCUUUUUAUUAUUACUGAGCGAGGGGUCUUGAGCUCUCUGGGGACUCACUACUUUCAAUAAAAGUUGCUUGUAUAUUGUG